AAUCGUCACACGAAUGAUUUUAGGACACAACGCCUAACAACUCCCACGUAGACUAAAACCAAUCGGGGUAGUAUCUUAUAUCCAUCUUCCAUUUAAAGUCUUCGAACUCUUUGAUUUUGAGAGCUUUAGUGAACGGGUCAGCUAGAUUCUUCUUUCCAUCGAUCUGCUGAAGCUCAGCUAACCUCGAUUCAUGAUCUCUCACACUAGGUGAUAGCGGCAC
rnacentral:lncRNA from 1 species